rnacentral:rRNA from 14 species
UUUUGUAUAAUGGGUCAGCGACUUAAGUUCAGUAGCAAGCUUAACCGUUUAGGGGAGGCGUAGGGAAACCGAGUCUUAAUAGGGCGCAUAGUUGCUGGGCUUAGACCCGAAACCAGGCGAUCUAUCCAUGGCCAGGGUGAAGGUUCGGUAACACGGACUGGAGGCCCGAACCCACCUAUGUUGAAAAAUGGGGGGAUGAGCUGUGGAUCGGAGUGAAAGGCUAAUCAAGCCUGGAGAUAGCUGGUUCUCCGCGAAAUCUAUUUAGGUAGAGCGUCAUCCGAAUACCCUCGGGGGUAGAGCACUGGAUGGGCUAUGGGGGCUUACCGCCUUACUGAUCCUAACCAAACUCCGAAUACCCGGGAGUACUAGAUGGCAGACACACGGCGGAUGCUAACGUCCGUCGUGGAGAGGGAAACAACCCU